UAAGCCUGUGAAGGUGGCCUGUGAGGGUUGCUGGAGGUAUCAGAAGUGCGAAUGCUGACAUAAGUAACGAUAAAGCGGGUGAAAAGCCCGCUCGCCGGAAGACCAAGGGUUCCUGUCCAACGUUAAUCGGGGCAGGGUGAGUCGACCCCUAAGGCGAGGCCGAAAGGCGUAGUCGAUGGGAAACGGGUUAAUAUUCCCGUACUUGGUGUUACUGCGAAGGGGGGACGGAGAAGGCU
rnacentral:rRNA from 1 species